CUGCAAUGAUGCUUUGAAUUUCUUCACCUGAAUUCAUGCUGAAGAUUAAAAAUACUAGGUUUUUAGACUGAGCAAC